rnacentral:rRNA from 1 species
CGAUGGGCCGACGUCGCAUGCUCCCGGCCGCCAUGGUUAGUUUGAUCAUGGCUCAGAACGAACGCUGGCGGCAGGCCUAAUACAUGCAAGUCGAACGGACGUAGCAAUACGUUAGUGGCGCACGGGUGAGUAACGCGUGGGAACGUGCCCUUCAGUACGGGACAACGUCGGGAAACUGACGCUAAUACCGUAUAAUAUCUCCGGAUCAAAGAUUUAUCGCUGAAGGAUCGGCCCGCGUCUGAUUAGCUAGUUGGUGAGGUAGUGGCUUACCAAGGCUACGAUCAGUAGCUGGUCUGAGAGGAUGAUCAGCCACACUGGGACUGAGACACGGCCCAGACUCCUACGGGAGGCAGCAGUAAGGAAUAUUGGACAAUGGGGGAAACCCUGAUCCAGCCAUGCCGCGUGUGUGAUGAAGGCCUUAGGGUUGUAAAACACUUUCGUCGGGGAUGAUAAUGACCGUACCCGAAGAAGAAGCCACGGCUAAAUUCGUGCCAGCAGCCGCGGUAAUACGAAUGUGGCAAGCGUUGUUCGGAAUCACUGGGCGUAAAGAAUGCGUAGGCGGCUUGACAAGUCAGGAGUGAAAUCCCAGGGCUUAACCCUGGAACUGCUCUUGAAACUGUCUUGCUAGAGUCCCGGAGGGGUUGGCGGAAUUCCGAGUGUAGAGGUGAAAUUCCCAGAUAUUCGGAGGAACACCAGUGGCGUAGGCGGCCAACGGGAGGGGAACGAACGCUUAGCAGGAAAGUUGGGGGAGCAAACAGGAUUGAUACCCUGUUAGUCCACGCG